rnacentral:misc_RNA from 1 species
GUAACGGCGAGUGAAGCGGCAACAGCUCAAAUUUGAAAUCUGGCUCCUUCGGGGCCCGAGUUGUAAUUUGCAGAGGAUGCUUCGGGUACGGGCUCCUUCCGAGUUCCCUGGAACGGGACGCCAUAGAGGGUGAGAGCCCCGUCUGGUAGGAAACCCAGCCCGUGUGAAGCUCCCUCGACGAGUCGAGUAGUUUGGGAAUGCUGCUCUAACGGGAGGUAUACUCCUUCCAAGGCUAAAUACCGGCUGGAGACCGAUAGCGCACAAGUAGAGUGAUCGAAAGAUGAAAAGCACUUUGAAAAGAGAGUCAAAUAGCACGUGAAAUUGUUGAAAGGGAAGCGCUCGCUACCAGACAUGGGUUCGGCGGUUCAACCGGGGCCACGCCCCGGGGCACUCCGCCGGCCCAGGCCAGCAUCAGCUUUCCGUCGGGGGCAAAGGCGUCGGGAAUGUGGCUCCCCUCCGGGGGAGUGUUAUAGCCCGGCGUGUCAUACCCUUCGGGGGGCUGAGGUACGCGCUUCUGCAAGGAUGCUGGCGUAAUGGUAGCUAGUGACCCGUCUUGAAACACGGACCAAGGAGUCAACCUUAUGUGCGAGUGCCCGGGCGUAAAACCCCAGCGCGGAAUGAAAGUGAACGUAGGUGAGAGCUUCGGCGCAUCACCGACCGAUCCUGAUGUCCUCGGACGGAUUUGAGUGAGAGCAUAUAGGGUUGGACCCGAAAGAAGAUGAACUAUGCGUGUGUAGGGUGAAGCCAGAGGAAACUCUGGUGGAGGCUCGCAGCGGUUCUGACGUGCAAAUCG